rnacentral:tRNA from 2 species
UCGCGGGAUGGAGCAGUUCGGUAGCUCGUCGGGCCCAUAACCCGAAGGUCGUUGGUUCAAAUCCAGCUCCCGCAAU